rnacentral:rRNA from 1 species
UAAUACGUAGGGGGCAAGCGUUGUCCGGAUUUAUUGGGCGUAAGGCGCACGCAGGCGGCUUUCCAAGUCGGAUGUGAAAUCUCUUGGCUAAAACUAAGAAACUGCAUCCGAAACUGGAUUGCUUGAGUUCGGUAGAGGAGAGUGGAAUUCCCGGUGUAGCGGUGAAAUGCGCAGAUAUCGGGAAGAACACCAGUAGUGAAGGCGGCUCUCUGGAACGAUACUGACGCUAAGGUGCGAGAGCUAGGGUAGCAAACAGGAUUAGAUACCCUGGUAGUCCUAGCUGUAAACGAUGGGCACUAGAUGUAGGGAGAUAUCGACUCUCUCUGCGUCGGAGCUAACGCAUUAAGUGCCCCGCCUGGGGAGUACGACCGCAAGGUUA